rnacentral:rRNA from 1 species
ACGUAAUAUGCAAGCGUUAUUCGGAAUUACUGGGCGUAAAGGGUGCGUAGGCGGUGAAUUAAGUCGGAUGUGAAAUCCUACGGCUCAACCGUAGAAUUGCGUUCGAAACUGAUUGACUAGAAUCAGAGAAGGGAAGGCGGAAUUCCUGGUGUAGCAGUGAAAUCUGUAGAUAUCUGGAGGAACACCGGUGGCGAAGGCGGCCUUCUGGCUGAUGAUUGACGCUCAUGUGCGAAAGUGUGGGGAGCGAACAG